GCUGAGUAGGAAGUAAGUCAGAAUACAUUCUGUUAUUUUAUAUUACUGACACAAAUGCUAAAGAAAGACCCUGUGAAUGGGAUACAUUUCUAUUUGUCUCACCAGCAGAGGGGUGAUUCAAUGUCAGAUGCUUCAAAAAAGUGAUACAUUUAUUUCCAAAACCCAGUAAUCAUACUAAAAGCACAUCUCCAGAGAACUGAGAUAUUUUUGACUCAGCUAUGAACACAUUCACCACCUGAGUAAGAUUUGCAACUAAAAGUAGUGAAGGCCAGAUAACUUAGUUACUUAUUAGUGUAGUUCAAAAAAACUUACAGCAUCUUUUCUCCUUCCCCCAAGGCCAACCAACCAAUACUGCCUUGUCUAUGAUAAAACUCACCUGGUGAUAGCCAGAAACAUUCUUCAUGUUUAUUAGUACAAAAUACUUAUUGUCACAACUUCCUGCCCUCUGUACUAUUUAGCAAACUAGGCAAGCAUUUAUUGAAAAACAUUAAGCUGAUAACUUGUAAUUGUAAUUUAUAAAAUAAGUUGAAUGAAAGAAAAAAUUGUGUGAGUGUGAAGGAUUAAAAAAUCUGUGAGAAAAGGGUUUAGAAUAUUUUUAUGGGAAAUAAACAGUAACACAUGCAAAGCUGUUUUGUCUGCAAAAAAACACAGGCCAGUUCACAGAAAAUUUCUUGAUCAUUGCAACAGAGAAUUGGAGUUUGGAUGAAAGUGAUUAUACCUCUGUUUCUCUAAAUUUGAAAAAUACUUGGUUAGCCCUAAUUUCCCUGAAAUAAAUUUAUUAGAAAAAACUGCAGCUAGAGAAGUGAUUAUCUAUCUCAAAUCUAUUGUCCACUGCCAUCCACAGGUCUAUUGCCUGCCCACACUAUUAUGGGCAGGAAGUCAAGCAGCUGGCAGAGCUGUGCAGUCUCACAUACAUAUUGGUGCUCCUGAUCAUUCUCAGCCUACCUACCCAGGGAAAAUGGUGAAUAAAAUUGUGUUUAAACAGUGCCCUGACACACAUUGCCUACUGUGUUUUUGACUGAUUAAAUUACAGCACAUUAGCACUACAUGAACAUUCAUCCUGAACCUGCUGAAAAUGGGAGACAUGAGCUGCAGAACCAUUUGAUGGUGACUUUGUAAUGAAAUUGGAACAUAUACACAGAAUAUAUGACCAUUUCAUGGCUGUAGUCCUCUUUCUCUCUCCUGACAGAGAAUGCAUGCUCACCCCUUGGUCCACCAUCUGUGUGUGAGUGUGAUGCUGCCUGUCUCUGCAGUGCCCAUGCUUAGGAGAAUGUUGCAGAGUUGCUGUACUCCAGAUGGAGAAGCUGCACUGUCCCCUAAACUGAUUCAUGAGAUGAAGGUCAGCAAGGAUCUGCUAAGAAAGAAGGCCAGAGGUAAAUUAUAAUGAUAGGGAUCUGAAACAGAGGAAAUGGAGCAAAUGGACUGGCUAUUUCUUAAUAAUAAUGACAUGUGAUGGGUAGGUUUUGAGUGCAUUGGCUGUUCACACAAGGCACCACACAAGGCACUUCAGGCUGUCCUAAAAGUUGUUAAGAAAUUCAGUUGAUAGUACAGGUAGCUUAUAGUUUAUUUUAUCAUAUUCACAUCUCUUUUUCUUAAUGACUUUUUUUUUUUUUUCUCAGAAUGGACGUUGUGACACCAGAACUUCAACAUCUAAAAUGACUGGGGGUAAAUGGUGCUAUGGAAACCUGUUUAGUUACAGCUCCCUAGAAAUAGUUAAAGUCUUUUGCAAGAAUUGUUUUACAAGGCCCAACUGGCUAGUGCAGAAGAAGGAGUGAAGUUGUUAUGUGAUCUUCAAGAGUAAGACUUUGGAUUGAAAAAUCCAAAGGGAGGGAGUGAAUGGUACAGAAGAAAUGUUGUCUUAGCUGCUUGCAGUUGGACAGCAUGUAGAGGAGGGAGUGAGACAUGCUAGAAGGGUAGCUCUGUAUUAGAAGACAACAGAAUAAUGUAAUGGGGCUAUAAUGAUAACAGGAACAAUGCUCUCAUUUUCUUUAUCCAGAUGGUGGAAAUAGAUGAAGAAUAAGGUCAGAGUUGAAUGUAUUCCCUUGAGUGAGAAUCUGAUGAAAAUGAGAAGUCUAAUUCCAGGAACAGGCAGUGUAAUUGAAGUACAGAUGCUUCUACAGGGUGCAGAAUAGUGAUUCUUUCAAUCCUUCACAAUCAUACUCCUGAUCUUCUGUCAUGUAUAUGCAUAAGUGGGUGCAUGUAUACAAAUGUGCAUGCACAGUAGGGAUGUGCACUGUCAUAACUAUUUGUUUCCAAGCAAAUAUCUCAAGCAAAGAUAAUUUUGCACAGUAGGAACACCCUGUGUUAACAGAAACCUCUACAGAUUUAAUAGAAUCAGCAGGUUCUGCCUGCACUGCACGUGAGGUGCAGCAACAGCUCCUUGGGAGCUGAGCAUCCCAUGCCUUUGCUUCUUAUACCCUCUCUUGCACCUGAUCCUGGAAAGUUCAGCUCUGAAAGGAUGUUCUUUUCUAAUCUCUUGGGAGAUUAGAAUUGUACUACUUAUUUAUUCCCUCUUUCCUACUACUGUGUUUUUUAAAGUAUUUGAUUCCUAACUCUUUUUGGUUUCAUAUAGUAGCACAAAUAUAGUGCUAGUGUAUAACUGAGGAUGGAGAGCUUCAUCAUUCCCCUCCACCGUAUCCAGCAAAAACAGGUCCCAGAGCAACUGAGCAUUUGAAAACCUGAAGAAAACGACCUACUUUUCCUUCUAUAACUCAUGUUAUUUCCAAUGGCCUGUCAAAAAAACAUGAACACCAAAACCAAAUCAAACCAAACCAAACCAAACCUGAAAACCAAACCAACCAAUAAAUGAACCAAACAAAAACCACCAAAACUCACCCAAAUAUAAGAAAUAGGGCCAUAAUCCUAUCUAACAUAGACUGUCAUUCUAUUGCCUUAAGCAUAUUUCAAAGCAUGUGAUGAUCUUGUGCUAGGACUCCUAGUCAGAGCAAGAAAGGACACCUACCUGUUUUUGACAAAACUUCACUGUUUUCAGUUGGUUUUGCACUGGUGGUGGCUGAAAAUCUGCCUGUUGGUAGCAACUGAUGUGAAGAAGCUCAUUAUUUGCUCUGAUAUUUCAAUAUCUUAGUUUUACAACAACCAACCAAGCUAUCUCCCUUGUUCUGUCAUUGUCACAGUGGAUAUUUUGAUGACAUUAUGUCAUUUAUCAACACAGAAGCAAAGAGUGCAGGUAACUAACAGAAUGUGUCCUGCUGUUAGUUAGUUGCUGCUCCAGAUGGUUUGGCUAUAUGUCCAUGUGCAAGCUGGACUUUUAUAACACUUAUUUAUUUAUGUGUUAUUUUUCAUCAUGAAGCAGCAAUAUAUUCAGAAAUGACAACAAGUGAUCUACCUUUAUAAAUAAAAGGAUGAAAACUGUAUCUCUGUAUGAUUGGAGAAACAUAUGGAGGUACCCAGAGCUCUCUGCUCUUCCCAUUGCCAUUGACAGGAACUGGUGGUGUUCUAGGUAUUUGUUCCUAAACACAAAAUCACAAAGAGUCUUGUCAUGGAACUACACUGAAUGAAGACAUACAGCAAAAUUCAAGUAAGAAUAGUUAUCUUAAUUUUUUUCUAGUUUCAACUAAUUCUUCUGUACAAAAAAGGUAUUUAAAUAACAUAGACUGUAAAAGCAGCAGCAACCAGCCAGAGUGUAUGUGUAUAGAUAUUCUCUAAUAUAAAUUAGUGCCUUUUAAAAAUCAUGGUAAACUCUGUUUUCUGUAAUUAUAACCAACCCUAGAGUUUUACCCAUGUAAUAGUAAUUUUUAGUGUCUUCACCAUUAUUUUCCUUUUUAUAUAUUUAACUACAACUAACUUGAGCAGACAAUGUUAAGUGGGGAAACAGAUGUGGUUAAAUAGCCUGUAAUUAUGCCUUUAGUCAUCUCUUACCAUCACAAGGCUCCUCCUGCUACUAUGACCAGAAAAAGUGACCUAACUGAUUUCACCAGCAGCCCUGCCAGUGUCUGAUGCAGAAUAGAUGGCCUUAUUAAGCAAUCAGAAAAAAAAAUAAAUAAAAAUCAACCAUUAUAGUGGAAUAGUAAUCAGCAGUGUUUAUACUAGUCCCACAAUGCACAAUCAAAACCAUGAAUUCUGCUAAUUGGGUACCUUUUGCAUCCAGAGGUGCCUGCAAUAGGAAACAAAAGGAACUUGAAAAUUAAUGUUUGUAGCAAUUAGUUUCUGUCUAAAGGCUUAGCCCAGUUCAUGGAAGCCAUGAUUCAAACACAGAUUAUUAUAGUAAGUAUGGUAUUUAAAUGUCCUUUGUCAUUAUUUAGCAUCAAAUUUAGCAUUGCAAGACUAAUUUGGAUUUACUUUUUAAAAUAUGUUUGUAGGGAAUUUUUAAAGUCCCCAAGUGCAAACCAUUUAUUUUUUGCUUUUUUAUGUUGUUAACUUUUCAAGACUAACAGUCCAUUUCAGAUUCACUGUAGAGCUGAUUAAAUGUGUUUGCUAUUGAAUAGAUGAGAUUUACAAAUUACAUAUUGAAGCAUGUUGGACUAUUAUUUUUCACAGAAUGAUCUAUGCUUUAUGGCAUAUUGAGGGAUUUUAUACUUCAUAGAAAUGUAAGGACUGGAAGUUUAUUAUUUAUAAACACAGCUACAAAUUCACACCAGUGAGUAGUGGUAUACAAAUUCUUAAGAAGAGAAAUUUAGGUAUGCAAUUUUUGGAGUAAAUUAUUAGUGCUUUUUCAGAUGGACUUCAGUGAAAGCUCAGUGGAUUACGUUAAGCUAGUUGUACCUUUAACCCUUUUCUUUCCUUCGAAUCUUUAGCAUUUCUUAUGUAAUAAUCUGAUAGACCUCUGUUCUUCAGUCCUUACCACUACAGACUCCCUCUGUAGGUGCUUAAAGGACAAAUUAACAGUAGAACAAUUCAAGUAACCUCUUCACCUUUGUAUCUAAGAAUCAGCUGCAUGUUCUUGCUUUGCUAAAGGUGUCCAUACGGUUACAGCAGGACUGUGACAAUAGCAUACAAAGAUGCCUAGAAUUCAGGAAAAAAAACCUCAGGAAGAUAUAUGAAAAGAGAGGGAAAAAGUCUUUAAGUCAACCCUGUCUUAGUUCUUCUGUUUAAAGGUUACAAUGAAAGAACGGAAAUGUAUCAUCUGCAAUUUAUUAAUAAGUUGUCACCCUCAUUAGUUAACUACUGUUUAAUCAGUAUAUGAUUAACUGUGUGACCUUAAAAAAUUGUUAUUAAUACAAAACAUUACAUUAUGAAACCAUUAAGUUAUAGGAAAAUAUUGGUACUUUGAAGACAAUCAGAAUGUUAAGUGUGAUAGUUUUUAGAGAUACUAUACCAACAUUUCCUCUGACUGAUUGCAUUACAUAUUGAUAGCAAGUAUCAGUAUGUAGUGCAAUCAGUCAGUGGAAAAUGAGUGAAAUGUGAACUAAUGAGAGCUAAUUGUCUCAUAUAAUAGCAAGGACACAGAAUUCUAUCAAUUAAAUUAGUCUGAGUUGAAACAACUAUCAGUGUAAUAGUGUUGAUAAUAUCAACCAAAUUAGAUGUAAUGAAAUAAAUUGUAUGCUAAAGAUCAAGGAUACCCAUUGGCUUCAACCCCCACCUCCUGCUAACUAGGGAGAGAGCCUCACGACUUUGGGCUCAGUUUGCUUCGAGUUCUGGCUAAUGCACAGCCUGAAACAUAUUCUGUGCUCAGGGCACUGGUAGUGGAGACUUUGUUUUAAUUAUUGCAAUUUGUACCUGGCAAAUGGGGGAAGCCUUCUGUGAGGUUGAGGCAGUGAACAAAUAGUAGUGGUAUGACAUUAAAGACUAUUGCUAACUUCAGCACAGCUGUGGGUGAGAGCAGGUGAUGUGGUGGGUGAGAAGCGCUGGCUUGGGCACACCAGGUGUUGGACCCUUUGUUUUUUCCUUUGGAAACUACCACAACUCAACAUCUGUAUCUUGUGAUCAGUAACAAUCUCAUAGUGCUCAAACACCACUUUCACUCCCUUUGCUUAGUCCCAGUCCUCCCACUUGCUCUUAGGCAUGGCUUCCAAAUCUAUUCCAAAGUUGUUCAGAGACAACUAAAUCACAUGGGGACUGAAUGAUGAGGACUAGGAUUCUCAAAGAGAUGCUGAGAAUACAGCAGCUCUCAUUGAGGCUGAGGGAAACACUGGGAUCGGCGCUCUUUCAGCCCUGAUAUUAGGAAUUCAAAUGGAAAUAGAAGCCUAACAUUACCCACUUCUGGGCUUCCAGCCUCUGAAAUUUCUGCUUUGCUCCGUAUUGCUGUUUCACAUCCUCAUUCCCAGUUUUAGUGAUUCUGUGAUCUAAUUCUUGGGACCACGAGAAGCUCAUUAAAAGUCAAGUAAAUCCAUCAGUCACUCCUGUAACACAAGCUGGGAUUAUUAACAACAUGAAUUCACAAAAUUAAUAGAGAACAUUGAUCUGGGUUUAUGCAGUAAUGCAGAAAGGCAUUUAAUUUCAUAUAAUGGUCCUGGUAACGUGAGCAGUUCCAAUCCCCCCUAGAAACAUAAUCUGAUAGAAUAAAAAAACCCAAACAGAAAUGGAAUGUUCCAUAGACAGUGACUUUUUGAAGUUUAAAAACUUUGUGAUGCAAUGAAAUAUUGUCUGUAAAUCCCACUUUCUGCUCUAAGGCCUUUGGACCAUGCUGUCAUGCAAGAGUUUGAGCAUGGCUCACACAAAUAAACUCACACAUAGAGGGCAGACAAAAGAACCACAGAAGCAAGGGGGCAGAUAAACUCCGAGGUUGGCAAAGCAAGAGAGAUCAAAUGCAUGCAACUUCAGAAGCAGAGAGAAGUAAUGAUAAAAAGGUCUGUGUGGCCAGACUUACCACAGGUAAUAGUUUGCACUUGUGCAGUGUUCACUUGGCCAACCUGUAAAGUUACUCACAGUCUAAGACAACAGAAACACAAAAAAUUCAGAGGUACUACCCAGGUACUGCUACUACUUGUGAUGUGUGCUUCUCUGAAAAUGCAGCUCAGGAAAGCAUUGUAGAGAGACAAUGCCCCAGCAAAACUGCAAAAUGUGGCUGAUGGCUUCCAUGCUGAUCUUGUGAAAAUUCGCAACUGUGUAUGAAUAUUUAAACUGGCCAUUUGUGACUGGAUGAAGGGAUUUUUUUUUUAUCCAUUACAAAGUGUUACAGCUGAGCCAUCUUACUGAUAUCCCUUUCAAGAAAAAAUCAUCUCCUUGAUGAAAAAAUCAUCUCUAUGAUCACAGGAAGCAAAUGCUGACAGUAUCUCCGUGGUAUAGACAGCUCGUGUUCAAAGGAGGGGAAGGCACCUGAACCAUCCACAGUGCUGAAACCACAUAACUGAAAAAUCAUAAUCGCCCGCUAACUGCUUUCUUUAUUUGUUAUUUAGAAAGCACUUGACACCUCUUAUCUCCAAGGUUUUAGGGGGAUGCUGGCAGAUUCAACAGCAUGCCACUGAACUCACCACAGGCCUCUAUCAUCAGUAUCAAACUACAGUGAGAAGAACAAAUGAGAAGGAAGUAUUCCAUUGGACUGGGCAUUAAAAAAUGCAAUUUCAGCACGAAUAUUAAGUUUAUUUUGAACCUCCUGUGAAAAAAUUUUGAAAGCUGGAAGGACCAGGAGUUUCCAGUGGUAUGGCUGUCUUAACUGUUCUCUGAUACAUAAACAACAUUGUAUUUUGUACUGCAGUGACAGAUGCAAUACAGUCAGUUCUGGAGAUCAGAAUGGGCAAAUAACCAGGGACAUGAAUCAUCCUGAAUAUGUUGGAAAAGACAAGCACAUACACUGACAUAAGUCCUCAAGAUAAAUGCUCUUUAGUAGUAGAAAUACAGUCAAAGAAAAAGGGACUCUCAAGAAUUAGUUGAGUAUCUUAAACUUUGUAUGAAUUGAAAAAUAUUCAGGAAAGAAAUUAGGGAAGCACUAAGGGAGUAACAACAUAAGGAAGGCUAGUCAACAUGAAGAUCAGACAGACAAUGGAUAGACUGAUGAGAUCACAAAGAUCUCAUAGAAUCUUAACAGAAGAAAGAGAAUCCUCUGGAAACUGCUACAACAUCAUCACAGGUCAUGUUUGAAUAUGCAGAUGUACUUCCUGAAGUUAUAAUAAUCAGUGAGUGAAUAAAUUUGUUAGCUAAUUCUCAUAAUACAUAAGGAUGAAAGAAAUAUUUAAAUUGUAUAAAUAAUUAAAUUGUAAAUUUAAAUUUCAAGUUUAAAAUGUAUAAGUAAAUAGUGGAGUCUUACAUGUGAUUACCAAUGGCUGCUUUUGGUGGAUCUUUCAGUUCUUUUUUUUCCUUCUAUUUUUCAUUUAGCAGGAUCUCAUUUCAUUUACCUUACCCAUUUUUUGGGUUGCAAUUAAUUUUAUCCCCCUCAUCUGUUAAUAGACUUUCUUUCAUAUGUACUUACCCAGCCAUAAAAGCCUUUUUAAGCCUCACAAGCCUCUUUUUACUUAUUCUGGAUUUGAUGGUAAUGCUACACUAUGUGUUCGAUAAUUUGUUAUGUUGCCCCAGGAGCAGGUCAGGUAAUUAAGCAAGACUUGGAACUCUGGUCUCCCUCUGCGCUCUGCUCCUGAAGACAGGGUUGGAUUGUGGCUGUGUGCCUCCAGUGUAACCAGUAAUUUUGUCUGAAAAAACAGAGGGAAAAGCAUUUGGCAUAUACAGUGACUGAUUUCUCUGCUGAUUUGCAUGCAGGUGAUGGGUCCUGCUCUCCACACCAAACUUUUUGCUGCACAAGAGAGCAACAUGUCCCAGCCUAUUCUUCAAAUCCAAUCACACAGAUACAGAGAAUCUGAAGAUGUUCUGAACACAGAUGUUCAGAGUAUCCCAUUAUCCCAUUGCUUUUAUCAAGCCACCUAGGUAGAUUCUUGAAUCCAUGUCCUGGAAAGGAGGCAUAAACCUGCUGCCUGAGAUGUCUUAAGAGCUUGAUCAAGCAGUGAGGUAAGUGCCUUUUACUACAUGGAAACUAGAAGGUCAGAAGGGGAAAAAGUACUGACAAGAUGGUGAUUAUGAGCAUUAAUCAUAAUAAUAUCAAAGUCUUAUAUAGCACUUUUCAUCAGAUUUUAAAGCACUGUAAAAAAGAAAUGAGUCUCAUUAUGUCCAUAUUUUAGAUCUAAAAUGUGACCUCCUGUACAUUAAGGUUUGUUCUUUAAAGGGAAAAAAAAAAGACUUCUGGAAUCAACAACACUCAUUCUUUGUUAAAUUUCUAAUCAUCACAGUGAAUGUUUUUAAAUCUACUUUUUCUACUUUUUUUUUGUGUAAGGGAAUUUUAAUUGCUUUACUUUAACUUGAUCUAGAACUAAUG